CUCACGGCCUCCUAUUGUUGAGCGGACUUGUUUUUUUUCCCGCGUCCCGGCUGAAGCUUCUAGUGCGGCGGGGAUCAUAAAUGUGGCUCUGCAGGGACGCCGGGGGCACAACCUAACAAAUGUGUGGGGUCAACUGGUUUCCCAAGGGGACGCUACUGAGAAGCUGGCUCACCAAGUCGCGGCCCCGGUUGCUGCUGCUCAUCGCCGGGUUGAAGAGGCCUCAGGUGACCCUCAUGAGGAGGAAAAGGAUGAAGCGCACGAAAGUAGCAAAGGCCACGUAAGCGGACCUGCAGCCGGAUGCCCCACUUCACCUGAGGCCCCCCCCCCGACGCG